rnacentral:lncRNA from 1 species
AUCACAGUAUGAGUUUGCACACGGGAAGUGUGUUCACCUCCCUAUUGUCUAAGGCUCUAUACUUGGAGAAAUGAUCUUCACCUGGCCAGGCUCCACCCUACCUGAGGUAGUCCGGACUUGCCAGGGCACUGCACACAUGGAGUGUUGUACGGGGCUCCACAGUGGUCUGUGUGGGAGGCACACUGUGCAUUUCCCUCGUAGAGGUUUCCUCACAUGCCUGAGGCAUUGACGGAAUUGGCUGCUUUGUUCAUGUUCUAUGUUGAAGAGGGACCCAAAUGCAAGAAAUGAGCAAAACUCAUGGAUGGCUGUGUUCACAUCCACUUUGUAGAAGGUUUGCACCUACCUGAGUGGGUCAGGAAAUGGUGGGGCUCUUCUCACGUUCACCAUGUAGAGGGCUCCAUGCAUGAUGCAGGUGUGCAGUGUGGGUGGGGUGUGCUGACCUUCCCGGUGUAUCAGAAGCACGCGUACAGGGGAGUGUCAGUGUGUGGCAGGGCUGUGAUUACACUCACGUUGUCCAGGGCACCACCAAUGCCUGAGGUCGUCAGGACACGGGGAGGCUCUGGUCACGAUCACAGUGUGCAGGGCACCACACAUGCGUGAGCUGGUCAGGAGGGCAAGAGGCUCUGCUCACAUCCACUUUGUAAGGGGCUGCUUGCACACCUCUGGUGCUUAAGAUAAAGGUGGGGCUCUGGUCACUUUCCCAUUGUGGAGGGCUCUGUACAUGUCUCCGUUUGUCAGGGCAUGUGUGGUGUGUGCAGACUCUGCUUUCAUUCAAGUUGUUCAGAGCUCCAUGGAAAGGGUUUGUGGUCAGGACAUGGGGAGCUCUGUUUCUAUCCAUGGUAUGGAAGGCUCAACAGAGUUCUCAAGACAACAUGUCAAGGGCUUGGUUUUCUGUUCACGUACACAUUUUUUAGGGACCAACCUUCCCGGCAGGAUAAGGACUUGGAGAGUCACUCUUCUUCCAUGUUCUCUUUUUGCAGGCCUACACAUAAGUGAUGUUGUCAGGACCUGUGGCCCGAUUCACAGAAUGUUUCAUUCCAGAAGUAUAACAGUUUGUGCUGCUGGGCAGUGCUCCUGCCCAAUAUAUCAAAAUGUUUUGUAUCUGUUUGAAAUGUGUGCCCUCUUAGGAAUCUUCUGUUAGCUCUGCCCCUCUGAGGAUUUUCUGUUAGGUCUGCCCCUCUCAGGAAUCUUCUGUUAGCUCUGCCCCUAUUAGGAAUGCUCUGUAACUCUUCUCCCUUCCCCCUGCUUCAGUGAGCAUGCUCACCCAGCAUGUGUUUGAGGAAUGUUCUGUAACUCCAUCCACCCCUCUGCUUCCUUGAGCAUGCUUGCCUACCCUGUAGAUCCCUAUAUAAGGAGGCACUCAUUCUGGUAGGGUGCUCAGACAUCAGAGUAGGAACUCCUCUGAGUCUGCUGGUAUAAUAAAGGUUUUUCUCCACCUUUUCAAGUGACUGUUGGAUUCUUGAGUCUUCAAAUUGCAGUGGUCAUGAUACCAAGCUGUAACACUUGGCUGUGCCUCAGAGCUGUGACACUCGCUGUAACAGGGAGGUGUAGUACUUUUCUAUAGCAACAAGCUGUUCCCCUUUCCCAUAACAGCAUCCCUUACUGUAGAAAGGCUAUCUCUGGAGAAAGGAGUGUAUAGAGAUAACUGUUAACACACACCAAAAAAUGACCAUUCCCAGGGUCUCGCCAAAGCUGGCGAGAUAGUGGCACCAUAGUGGCACCAAGUCACUUUUGUCUGAACACAGUACUCCAGAAUCUGAGUUUUCUGUGGUGUUUUGUCUCCUGCCUGCACAAGGCUCUGUCUCAUGCAAGACCCUUCAUCUUUGGUUCUGUCUCCUGCCUGGUUGUGUGGUAAUAUAUUAUUUGACCAUGCUCAUAUCUGCUAUACUUUUAUAAUAAACUUACUUCCAUCUUUUUAAAAUCUUUAUGUGACUCUUCUCUGCUCAUGCAGAUCUGAAACUCAAAUUUUUGUGGCUACAACCUGAAUGUGGCUCCUUGCUGUUACAUUAGGUCCCUUGAUCAGAUACUUAUCUUAGGGGCCACCAUACUUCUGAGGUGGUCAUGACCUCCUCAUUGCCUCCACAAAUAGCUAAAAAGGUCAGGUCAUGGGGGUCUCUGUUCACAUCAUCCUUGUUGGGGGCUCCACACAUCUGAGUUGAUGAGGGUGCAGGAGAACUGCUUGCUUACCAUCUCAUUGUCCAGGACUCCAGUAGUGGCCAAGACAGUCAGGACUUUGUACAGGUGGCUAUUCCUGCCUGAGAUCCUCAGGACAUGGGAGGCUGU